rnacentral:rRNA from 1 species
AUACCGGCAGCUCAAGUGGUAGCCGCUUUUAUUGGGCCUAAAGCGUCCGUAGCCGGUCUGAUAAGUCUCUGGUGAAAUCCCACAGCUUAACUGUGGGAAUUGCUGGAGAUACUAUCAUGACUCGAGGUCGGGAGAGGCUGGAGGUACUCCCAGGGUAGGGGUGAAAUCCUGGAAUCCUGGGAGGACCGCCUGUGGAGAGGGCGGCCCUCGGGACCGAACCAGACGGUGAGGGACGAACGCCAGGGGCCCGAACGGGAUGAGGUUCCCGGUGAGUCUUGGCCGUAAAGGAUAUGGACUUGGUGUCGGAAUGGAGUCGAGGUGCCCGAGUGCCGAAGGGAAAAUGUUAAGACCACCGCCUGGGAAGUACGGUCGCAAGGCUGAAACUUAAAGGAAUUGACGGGG